rnacentral:rRNA from 1 species
GAUGAACGCUGGCGGUAUGCUUAACACAUGCAAGUCGAACGGACUCUUCGGAGUUAGUGGCGGUCGGGUGAGUACCGCCUGAGAAUUUGGCCUUGGGUUCGGGACCACCACUGGAAACGGUGGCUAAUACCGGUGGUGCCGAGAGGUAAAAGAGAAAGUGCCUGAAGGUGAGCGCGCGUCUGAUUUGCUAGUUGGUGAGGUAACGGCCCACCAAGGCAGCGAUCAGUAGCUGGUCUGAGGGGAUGACCAGCCACACGGGGACUGAGACACGGCCCAGUCGUCUGCGGGAGGCAGCAGUGGGGAAUUUUCCGAAAGGGGGGAAAGCCUGACGGAGAAGUACCGCGUGAGGGAAGAAGGCUCGUGUGUUGUAAAGCUUUUUUCUGAGAGGAGAACAAAAUGACGGUACCGAGGGAAGCAGCAUCGGCUAACUCCGUG